CCUGUAUCCCCAGCUGACCUGGAACUCACUAUGUGGACUAGGCUGGCCUCAAACUCACAGAGAUCCAUCUGCCUCUGCCUCCCAAGUGCUGGGAUUAGAGGCAUAAACUACCAUGCCUGGCUUGCCCUUUGUUGAGUAUACCAAUCUGGAGUAGAGUUUCGUGUUGCUGAGUUUGGAUGAAGGAGGAGCAAAGUGAUUUGGGAUUACAUGAGACUGAUGCAUUCUUACUGACUGUUACAUUUCCCUGAAGAAAUGUUUAUUUGCUAUGUAGUCUUCAGGACCGUUUUCAGAUUUUCUCUUGUGUUCGUAAGUUUCACGGGAUUUGCUGAGGACCAGCUCCUGCUCUCAUGUUGGUGUGCAGCCUAAAGCAUGUAUAAGCCCUAAGGACUGGUGAGAGACUUUCUCGGACGAGCUGAGCUUGCCUAGAAGAGACUCAGACCAGCCAAGCUCUCUGGAAGAACCAGAGACCAGCUGACCUGCCUGGAAAUUCAGACCAACUGAGCUACCUGGAAAGACCACACUGCAAUCUUGAGUUGCCUACAGGUUGUGCAGUGCGCACUGGGUCUCCAGCUUUCGUGAGCCCUCAUCCUUGUUGAAGUGGGCUUCUGGUGAUGCAACUGUCUUUGAGUCAUUUCUGCUCUUGUAAGUAACACCAGUAAAACCCAUUGCAAUAAAACCCUUUUGUUCACCUA